AGAGAAAUCAGUUAUCCAUCAGAUUGUUGGUUGUUGAACUGGUCAGAAUAAUUAAAUCGAUUUGAAUUCUCUAAAAAACAUGAAUAAAAGCAAGUUAACUUACCAUAUAUAAAGAGGAGUAAGGGAGCUACGACUAUCAUUUAUUUAUACUAGUUGCUGCCCAGGUCCUCUUCUAAGGACUUUAAACAUGCAGUCUUAUUCAAGUUUCCAUUCUAUCUAUAAGAAAACAGAUUUGGAAAGCUUAAAGUACCAUCCUCACCUCACACAACUGGUAUAUGCUUGGGUCAAAAAUAGGAAAGAGGUUCUGAUUCCUAGGUUUUUAACACAAACCAUCAUAACUAUUCACUAAGUCAUGUUGGUAUAAAGAACUUAGUUGGACUCAUGUUGCUAAGUUAGGAAAUAUUGGAGAAAUAUCAGGAUUAAAAUAUAGGGGUUACAAGUACAGAUUUUAUCAUUGUUUAAAAAAAUAAUAUCUACCAUUUAAUAAGCAUAUGUUAUUUAAUUCUCACAAUUCAUUGAAGUAGGAAUUUAGAUUCCACUUUACAAAUGAGGAAUCUGAAAAUCACAGAGUUAAACACUGACCCCAAAUCACACAAACGGAAGGGAUGGAGCCAGGGUUCCAGUGUGAGCAGCCUGGCUUCAAAGCCCAUCUCUUUCCAAGGAGAUUUCAUUCCCUCGCACAUUCCAAGAGGAGGAGAGAUCAUGUAUAUUUCCUCUUUGUCCUCAUCCAUCUCUUUAGUUCAAUCACCAAGUAAGGAACAGCCAUGAGAGGAAAAGUAGAAAAGGUGGCAGGAGCCAGCCUGUGGCUGUGACAUGUGGGCAGGGCCACUGGCUGAUUGUGGGAACACAUGUAGAUUACAAAAACCUCAGGAUGGUUUCCACUGGGGAGUUCGUUUUUUUUUUUUUUUUUUUUUUUUGUCUCCAUAUCCCCAUGAUAGCCUUCCUGAAGUACUGCAUCUUCCAUGGUUCCACCCAGUCUUUGGCCCUCGGGUACUGAGCACGGAGUCCUCACACCUGACUAGGGGUGGUUGUCCUGAAAAGUCUCACUCUGGAAGUGGCUCUGCUCAUUCAUUCAGGCACCAACUUGUAACCGUGCUUAAUGGCAUGUAUCUGGCUGGAAAACCUCUAAAGGAAGAGAAAGAAGAAAAAUACAUGAGCCCGCGACUGGCUGGAUUGAAACUGUGAUCAGGGACUAAUCUGUGUUACCUCACUAGGAGCCUGAGUUGAAAUGAUGUAGCAGGGGACAAAUAAAUAACCCUCUCUGUUAAGAGGGGACUGGUAG
rnacentral:lncRNA from 13 species